AUGAAAAUGGAAAUUCCUUGCAAAGAUUUGAACUAACAAUUGUGUUUGUGUUUUGUGGAGUAUAACUUAUUAAUAGCACAGACUUGCAAAAGAAGACAUAUGUGUUUGGUCACGGGGCUCUUCUUGCAGUUUGGGAAAGCAACAAACGCUCGCGAGAAGCAUUGGAGACUUACAUAUUCGACAAAUUGAAUGCCGAUCAUCAA